GAUGAACGCUGGCGGCGUGCCUAAUACAUGCAAGUCGAGCGAACAGACGAGGAGCUUGCUCCUCUGACGUUAGCGGCGGACGGGUGAGUAACACGUGGAUAACCUACCUAUAAGACUGGGAUAACUUCGAGAAACCGGAGCUAAUACCGGAUAAUAUAUUGAACCGCAUGGUUCAAUAGUGAAAGACGGUUUUGCUGUCACUUAUAGAUGGAUCCGCGCCGCAUUAGCUAGUUGGUAAGGUAACGGCUUACCAAGGCAACGAUGCGUAGCCGACCUGAGAGGGUGAUCGGCCACACUGGAACUGAGACACGGUCCAGACUCCUACGGGAGGCAGCAGUAGGGAAUCUUCCGCAAUGGGCGAAAGCUUGACGGAGCAACGCCGCGUGAGUGAUGAAGGUCUUCGGAUCGUAAAACUCUGUUAUUAGGGAAGAACAAAUGUGUAAGUAACUAUGCACGUCUUGACGGUACCUAAUCAGAAAGCCACGGCUAACUACGUG
rnacentral:rRNA from 1 species